rnacentral:rRNA from 1 species
UAGGGAAUCUUCGGCAAUGGACGAAAGUCUGACCGAGCAACGCCGCGUGAGUGAAGAAGGUUUUCGGAUCGUAAAGCUCUGUUGUAAGAGAAGAACGAGUGUGAGAGUGGAAAGUUCACACUGUGACGGUAUCUUACCAGAAAGGGACGGCUAACUACGUGCCAGCAGCCGCGGUAAUACGUAGGUCCCAAGCGUUGUCCGGAUUUAUUGGGCGUAAAGCGAGCGCAGGCGGUUAGAUAAGUCUGAAGUUAAAGGCUGUGGCUUAACCAUAGUACGCUUUGGAAACUGUUUAACUUGAGUGCAAGAGGGGAGAGUGGAAUUCCAUGUGUAGCGGUGAAAUGCGUAGAUAUAUGGAGGAACACCGGUGGCGAAAGCGGCUCUCUGGCUUGUAACUGACGCUGAGGCUCGAAAGCGUGGGGAGCAAACAGGAUUAGAUACCCUGGUAGUCCACGCCGUAACGAUGAGUGCUAGGUGUUAGACCCUUUCCGGGGUUUAGUGCCGCAGCUAACGCAUUAAGCACUCCGCCUGGGGAGUACGACCGCAAGGUUG